rnacentral:rRNA from 1 species
GAUGAACGUUAGCGGCAGGCUUAACACAUGCAAGUCGAGGGGUAUAGUUCUUCGGAGCUAGAGACCGGCGCACGGGUGCGUAACGCGUAUGCAAUCUGCCUUUCACAGAGGGAUAGCCCAGAGAAAUUUGGAUUAAUACCUCAUAGUAUUAUAGACUGGCAUCGGUUUAUAAUUAAAGUCACAACGGUGAAAGAUGAGCAUGCGUCCCAUUAGCUAGUUGGUAAGGUAACGGCUUACCAAGGCGACGAUGGGUAGGGGUCCUGAGAGGGAGAUCCCCCACACUGGUACUGAGACACGGACCAGACUCCUACGGGAGGCAGCAGUGAGGAAUAUUGGUCAAUGGACGAAAGUCUGAACCAGCCAUGCCGCGUGCAGGAUGACGGUCCUAUGGAUUGUAAACUGCUUUUGUACGAGAAGAAACACUCCUACGUGUAGGAGCUUGACGGUAUCGUAAGAAUAAGGAUCGGCUAACUCCGUGCCAGCAGCCGCCGUAAGAC